UACUGCCAACGAAUGUUUUAUUUCUUAAAUUUUAAUAACCAGUGCGCUCAAAAAGACACAAGUUAAAGGUGGUGAUUUUCGUAAAUUGCUAAUUUGAAAAUGGGAAAUGUAUUUAAAAAGUUCAGAUUUUUACUUUUCACCGAUGAGGCCACCCGAUUGUGAAAACAGAGGAUCUUAUUUACUGAACAACCCGGACAAUUCGAAGCGUACCGAUUACCGUGUAUUAUACCGAUUACCACUCAACUGUCCAACAAAUACGCCUGCGUGAUUGCCGAUUUCGUCAUUCAAUUUUCAAUUUUGGCCUCAUUCUUUUGGCUUAACGUCAUGUGCGCGGACAUUGCUUGGACAUUCAGAUAAUAUGUCGAAAGGCUUGUUCUUCUUUGCUCCUAUUGGAAGUCUCAUGUUGACCUAUCUCAUAUUGUUCAUGUUCGCCGCGUUAAGAAUAGUUUUUAUUCGCAAGGACACGUCAAAAAUGUUAAAUCGACAAACCAACCAAAACAAUACUAGUUUACCUAGUAUUGUUUUGGUUGGUUUGUCGAUUCAACACUUUUGAUGUGACCCUGCGGAUGAAAACUAUUCUCAACGCAGUGAACAUGAACAAUAUGAAAUUGGUCAACAGGAGAAUUCCAAUAGGAGCAUAGAAGAACAAGCCGACCGACAGUUUAUCUGAAACCACAAGUGACUGAUUGUUAUUUAACAUAAUUUGUAUUUUUGUCCAUGUGUGUGCAAACAAUAAUUGGAAUCGUGACGGAUAUGAAUAAAUUGAAUAUAUAAUAAAAAACAUAACUUGUGUUUGAAGUGACUGAUUUAGAUAGAAAUCGAAAAAGAGUAUACGGUAAAUAUUUGGAUAGCUGCAAUGAAUGAUAUAAAGUAGUUAUAAGUGUCCAUAAAAUUUUAACUGGCGUUUGGUAGGUAUAGUUGUGCAUUGUACGGUUUGUGAAUUGUUUUGAAAAAGUGUAGUAUUUCAAUAGAUAAUAAAAUAAAAUUCAAUGUACCGUCACACAGUGUUUCUAAAGAUGAGUUAUUGUACUUACUGGCGAACCAACAGUCUCUUUGACCGAAAUUCGGUUUGUACUCUGGGCUGACAAGGAAGUCGGUAAACUCGGCCACAGCGGUCAAGACUGAUAUGAUAAUGCUACUACCCCAAGCGUACACAGAAUAAAUCAUGUACUUCUUUUUCUCGUUCUCGAUCUUGUUGGAGUAAGACAACAGUCUGAACCCGCUAGAAAACCGAACACAUAUUAUAGGUAAAUUUUAUAUUAUAAACAGUGAUUGAAAACGUUACCGAGCGAAAAUGUACACACACUGUUUGUUAUAGCGAAAACAAACCAGCUUAACUGGGUUUGAACUUGUACAAAUAAAAGCUAUAUACAUAAGAUACUAGCUUGCGUGCAAUACUGAAGUAAACAAAAGGGCUAAAACCGUUAUGUCCGCACAAAAGAAUAAAAAAAGUCUUCGAUGUUAAGCGGUUAUAGCACUGUAAAUCAUAAAAUAGGUUUUUAACCCUUAUCAUAAAAUAUUGUUGUUUUUAUCAAGAUAUUGUUAUCACCGAUAUCUUAUCAACACAGAUUAAAUAAAACAAUACAAAUUCAAAUAACGGUUUUUCAUUGGUUUAAACUUAUUGCAAAAUGACCAAAUUAUGGUGCCGAAAAUAUUGUACACACUGCUUACAAUAAUAAAGUAAACUGAUAAAAAAUACUGAUAACAAGUGAUAACGAAGGUUGUAGGUGAUAACAUUGCAGAUGUUUGAUACCGUUUCUUUGACCAAACUGUGGAAGAGAAGGAUUAUAUGUUUCAUUUUUUGUUCACACUGAACUGAGGUUAUUAAAUUUUGUUUUCAAUAUUUUAAUUUGUUUUAGAGUGCACUAUCUAGUUGUUUUUAGCCUGUAAUAUAUAUUGAAUGGUAUUUAUUUCUUCUAACUUGGCAGACUGGCUUCCCCUAAGGUAAGUUAUCUUUAAAAUGUUUUGAUUGCGUUUUGUUUUUACAAGUCCAAACCCAGUUUGAACACCGUACCUACUAUCAAUAAUUUAUAUCAACAAUUUUUGUGGUUAUUAAAAAAUAAUGUAAAUAUUAGCUUUGUAACGUUGUCAAUCAAUGGAUAUGAAUAUACUUGAUACGACGAUGAUAAUAAUAACAAUAAAAUAACAAACCUGAAUGUCCAAGCAAUGUCCGCGCACAUGACGUUAAGCCAAAAGAAUGCGGCCAAAAAUGAAAAUUGAAUGACGAAAGCUAAAAAAGACAAAAGCAAUUUAAUAUUUUUUUAUGAGCCAGUUAACAUUAUUUAAUUAUUUUUUUCCUGGUUAACGUACAAUAGAGAUGCGCUCUACCAAAACACUAAUUUAGUAGCUAUAAGAAAAGUCAAACAUGUUAUUUUGAGAUUUCCAGUCGUUCUUUCGAGCCAAAUUAUUUCAAAAAAAGUCUAUGGUUAAUAUAUCAAUUUAGUGUGCUGACACCUUGUGCUUUGUUGGCAGAUUUAUAUGAUUAUAAUUUUUAUCACAGUGUUCUAUUAAUUGUUGUUGAUUAUGAUUUAUUUGUUUCUGUUUAAAACGCAUUCUGUCAAAAAGAUUAAACCGUAAUAACAAUAUAUUAUUAUUAUUAUUAUUAAUAUACAUUUUUGAAACAAAUGUCACCUAAAUUUGGCACGAAAAGCCAAAACGAACUCGAGGUUAUCCGUCGUGGUUUUAAUUAUAAACUUCAUAGAAAACAAAGUAAUUAGAGACGUCAAACAGCUUCCAAGUCUAAAUAGUCGUUAAUCGUUUUGGACGACCAGAGCCAACACUAACAUAGCGACCACGUGGAGUGAUUUAAGAUGCCAAAAUUGGAUACAACGCUGUUAAGCUAUAACUUAAUUUCGAAAACUUAGAGUUCGAACGUUAUUGAAAAUAUGUAUUGUAGAUAGGCUUCGAAGAAUAUUCUUUAUGUUAGAACUCGAUAUUAGCGUAGUGGCAUAUUUGAAGUACCUAAGCUUUGUGAUCUCGAUAUGAUUGUUUUUCAAAUGAUAUCCAAAGCCGAUUAUAAUAUAUAUUUUGCAUAUAUCACCCAGUGAACGGCGUUCAAGGCGUUGUCCUUCGUCGAGAUACCCAACCGGUUUGCACCGAGAGAUAGAAAUAAGAUUGAGAAAUUCGUGGAGUUGUGCCAUUUAAUUGCACUACUGCAUUGUAAAUAAUGUCAAAGUAUUAAUUACAGGAGCAGAUUGUCUAUGAUACAGUGUUUUGCAGCGAUGGCAAACCUAACCGUUGGCCCCCACGACACUGCCAUAAGACCAAACUCAAUAAAACAUAUUGUAAAACAAACUAUUUUAAAUGAUAUAAUAAAAUAUAUAAAAAAAAUAAAAAAAUGCCAAACUCACGUUUUACAAUAAUUGACCGUCAUUUGAAACACUAAGGCCUCUUUUUUAUACUAUCACUAUUAUUAUAUAUUUAAAACGGCCUAUUGUUUUUGUGUUGCUUCUUUUUGCCGUCCAAGGACAACCCGUAAUGAACGGCUAAAUUAUUACAAAUAGUUAAUUUUAUACAACUGCUAUCGACCGACGGUUAUUGGCGUCUCGAACCAAUGCACAUAGGUAUAAUAACACCUAUUGAUUGUUAAUAAUAGUAUUUCAAUAUCUGAUCAACUGCGGCGAUUUCACGUGAAGCAAACUCGCUCAUACCACAACAUGUAAUCAUAUGUAAUGACUAAUAGUAUACUAUAUAGAACGUUUAAUUUUAAUUGUAAAUGUAAAGUAUUAUUCCCAUUGUUGUAUAUUUAUUCUUUCUUUACAUAGGUAAUCAUUUAUAGAAAUCAGGUACGGGGUGUCCCACGAGUCGUAGUAAUAUUUCCUAGAGAUAUUUAGAUUUAUAAAUUCUGAUUUUUUUCCCCCAAUUCCAUUAGUUUAUGCAAAUCACAUUUAAAACACGAUUAUCUUUUAUAUUUGAAAAUUACAACUUUUAAUUGAAAAGGAAAUCAAGAUAUUUCGACUGGUCUACAACAAUAAUAAUAUUAUGCAGAAUAUUUUACCCCGCUGACACUUUUAUGUAAAUUACUUUAGUAAGUUAAAUGUAAACACUAAGCUUCAUAAACCCGAAGAAAAAAAAAAAUCAUCCAUUAAAAAGUUUUGAUGGCUCUUUCUGAAUUUAAAACGUACAACUAAGAAGUAUUACAAGCUCUAAAUAAGUUUAUUCGUGUUUCGAUUAAUAAACACUGAUGGCUUUUCCGUAUGGUACCAAAUUGAAUUUAAAUCAAUACACUGAACGGUCGACAUCUUUAUUAUAAUAUUAUUCAUCAGAGUAUCUUUAAAGUAAGUAAAUACAGUGCGCUUUUCGAGAAUUCUUUAUCCGUUUAUAAUUAGCAUGCAUGAUGAAGGAUUUUUCUAGAUGGUUUGAUGCUAUUAGUUAUUAGAAAAAGUAUUCACACUCUAUACACAUACAUCAAUACACGGAUGUAUCCUGAUAAUUUUGUGAUUAUUUCCGAUAAAAUAUAAUCUUCUUGCGAUAAAUGAUAAUAGUAUAGUCUUAAUUAUAUGUUCUGGCCAAACGUUUUUAUAGGUUUUAUAAUAUCUGGCCUUAAUCGACUUACUGGCAAAACAUUUAUCAAUAUUUCUCAUAAAUCAAUUUCCGUGGUUCGCCAGUAUGUAAGUGCCUACCUAGCAAAUUCAUUUGGCUAUCCUUACAUAUGUCGUUAUAUCCUGAAACUUGAUGUAUCUGCACGAAGUGUGAAUGCUCUUAACUAUGUUUUCAGAAUGACCCUCCAUAAUCCUAAUCAUAAUCUAUUUAUAUUUAAUCGAAUCUUAUAUAUACAGAGUGAUCCACUUAUCGUGAACCACUCAAUAUCUCAUAGGAUUUAAUAAGAAAUACAA